AUCAAAUAAUAAUGAGUCCAGGCAAUGGGUUAUGGGAAAUAAAGUAAAAGCAAAGGAGUCAGGAGGAGUGCAGUCAAACAACAGGUUCUUCAUGACCAAGAGGGAAACAGUGUUGAGUUCAGAAAUUCCAGACAUAAGCACAUUAACGUGCUGUAGCUCUGUCUCAUUAUAAAGAUGUCCAGUCAGCAACCGAGAGGAAACAGCCCUGCAGGGAGAGAGAGAGAGAGAGCCCUGCACAGACUGUGUCGGUCAGCCUCACUUCCACAUAUGUACAUAUGGACAAAAGAAGACACACUGACUGUACAAGAUCAAACACUGGGGUUUCUGAGUUCUCACUUAUCAUGCCUGCAAAACCACCAGGUUUUAAUAUGUUAAUUAUGUUGAUUGUUAUCUAUGUAACUGUUAUUAAAGUUUAGAUUGCAAUUAAACUACUUUCAUUUAAAGCACUCAGUGUCACAUGGUCAGUGUGAACGCUGUAGGUGACGUCAUUAUGUCAUUAGUCCACCAGGUGGCAACACCUCCAUUUGGCUUUGAGAGCUGGAAAUUUGAAAAAAGUUCAUUCAUUCAGAGCUUUCAUUCAUUUGUUUAACCUAUGAUAGGCUUUAAAUGACCAUUUCAUUUCAAGUCUGUGUUUACAGCAAGAACUAAACCUAUGUCUUACUAUUACUGUAUUUUUCUUUUCUUUGUUUACUGCAAGCUAUAUCCAGAGACAAACGUACCAUGCUUUUAGAUUGAACAAGUCAUUUUAAAUGUAUAAUGGUUGGUAGCAAACACAGCCAAAUAUUUUUUUGUCUUCUGAAUUAAAAUUCAAUUAAACACCAUCAUAUUUUC